UGUGACUUGUUAAAUUCAUUUACCAGUUCUAGCAGUUUGGUAAAAAUUUUUUGAUAGAUUCCUUGGGAUUUUCUACACAAUUAUGUUGCCUGCACAAAGGCACAGUUUUAUUUUUUCCUUCCUAAUCUGUGUGCUUUAGUGGUGUCCCGGAACCCUAGGAGCCCCUGGAAGGUCUUAAACACUCUGAUGACCCUGUGGAGCAUGUAGCAUCGUGGACCCACUGUUUUCCAGCAUUUCUGCUUUUAAAAGAGAAGCCAGGAGUGAAAUGGCUCAUGUGUACAUGUAGGCAACAACCUCCACUUAAAUAAAUAUUGUGAUCCAAGCAAAACCUAUUCAUAAGUUCAUGCAACUCUCGGAUGCAGUCUGUGACCGUGUUCAUCGCCAUCGGACAUCAGAAUGCAUGGAUAGAGUAUGGUGACAGUGACCCUGUGUGACUUCUGAGGCCAGGCCCAAAGGAACCCUGGAGCUCCAUCCUCCAUUUCUUGAAAUGUUUGUUUUGGACACUCUCCUUCUCAGAACCCAGGUCCACAUGGAGAGGCCUCCUGUAGGAUCUCAGGUCAACUAUCAAGAUUGAGAUCAACCUGGCACAUGCUCUAGACACGCAGAAAAGAAGCUUCCAGAUGACAGUAGCACCCAGCCAUUUAGGUUCCCCCCCACCCCCCCGCCUCCACUGCCAUUAU